CUUUUCCUUCUUUCUUUUUUUUCUUCUUUACGCGGAGCUAUUUAACUCUCGCGCGCAGCUAACACAAGUCCCAGCUCCGCGCGCCGGGAGGCGCGCCCGCCCCGCUUGACCCCAACUCAACCAAGUUCUCAAGGAAAUCCUCGCGGCGCGGAGACCGUGGACGUUCCGGACCGGAGGAUGGCGGGUUCACCAGAAGAAGGGCGGGAACCAGCGACCCGGAACGCUCGACCUCAGCUGGAACCGGCCCAGCCGGCGUGCGUUUACCCAUCCGCCGCAUCAGCCGUCGCUUUGUCUGACGGACACCUAAAUGCACCUCCUGGUUCUCAGCGUGAACCUUCAGGUCUCACAUCAGAUUAACCCAGAUUCACACACAAAGGCGUACGCAGUCGCUGCACAUCGCCUCCACCUCUGAAGCUGAAGGGAGAUCCUGCUGGCGUGAAAGCUCUGACAGGAGAGCAGGGCGAGUACACAGGAAGUACAUUAGAUUUCACUCCUCAGUCUUCUCAUCUCAGAGCCCGGACGCCGCUCUGAACACACCGUGUCAGGGAUGGAGCUCAGCACGCCGCACAAGCUGCCAGAUGAAAUAUUUAAAUGAAAAGUGGCAGCAUGGAGGAGAACCGGAGAGAAGAAGAGUGACAGUAUUCAGACGAGAAAGCAUCUUCUCACCCUCUGAAGUUCAGCUCAGAGCAACACUCACAGCUCUUUACGUGUUCGUGGACGGAAAGAGAGAGGAGCAGAAAUUAGAAAACUAAAUCAUGAAAACCACCAGCAGGCGUCAACACUCCAGCCGUUUAUCACUCAAAGCUCACAUUUUUAUUAUUUUAUCAAACAAAAAUAGGAUGUUAAAUUGACCUGCACACAUUUAUUUAUUUGUCUUACAAAGCCACUGUUAUUUAAGGAUAAUUAUGACGUUUGGACAUGUAGAUACGACAAAAGUAAAGGUUUUAUUAAUGAUGCUAUGUUAAGACUAUCAGGCUAAAUGGACAUUUUUAAAGAUCAUCUAAUAAUUACAGAUAAAAAAUAUCUCAUCUCUUCUCAGGAGAUUAGAAAAAGGAUUUCUUAAUGAAUUUUAAUUUAUCAAUUUAAUUCCUAGAUGCCUUCAAAUUUACUGUAAUUUAUAAUUCAUAAUAAGCAAAAAAUCAGUGAAUUUUGCUCCAUUGCUAGAAAUAAAUUCAGAUGUCAACUUUAAAAAAUAAAUUAGCAUUUCCCUUCAUAUAUUUAGCUUACUAUAUUUAUUUUUUACACACAUUAAAAAGUUUGUGACAAAAUUUUAAGAUAAAAUAUAUUUUUAGAGGAAAAUAAAUCAUAAACAUUUUAGUUCUUUGAAUAAAUUUGACUUGAAACUGGAUUUACAGGAAAAAAGCAUUUUAUAUAAAAGUUUUUUAAAUUAUAAUCUUUAAAAAAAACUAAUGUUACAAAAAAUCUUUUUUAUUUUGUAUUUAGGAUUCUAUUUUCUGAAAUCUUGGAGGCUUUGAAACCUCUGGUUAUGUUUUACAACUUUGUUUUUUCUAGAAACAGAUUUAUUAAUUUUAGUUUAAUGCUUUUAGGAAUAAAAAAAAAAAACAGAUUGUUUUCUGCUCUCAGUGAGAAAAAGUCUUCCUAUAAGUGUAUUUAUUAAAUGACAAUAAAUAAGAAGUGAGAUUGAACUGAAUAGUGUGAUGUCUGCUGUCAUUUGUUGUAAAAUAUUUAAUAUUUCGGUUUCUCAGAGAAGGUUUUUUUCUCGUUUGGUGACUCGGGAAGUUUCGGUUCUGCUCUUCGUUUACAAAAGAGUCGAUGUUUACAUCCAAAUUAACACUUUCAGGGUGCUUUUUGUCGUUUCUCCUCCCAGCAGAUUCAGACUGGAAGUGCUCACAGUAGUUCAGAGGAAAGUAUUACUCCAAAUAAACAUGGCGUUUCCUGGUUGUGGGUAAGGGGGGGGCAUGCGGCCGUGAUUGGGUGCAGAUGUCUGGCUUUGGCUGCUCCGAAUAUUUGCUGCAAUUCAAUAAAUAGAGCCGUUAGGAGCCCGGUGUUCCUGCCGCCGGCAUGUCAGCAGAGGAAGUCUCACUUUUUCAGUUUCAUCUGAAAGCGUUGGUUUAAUUGAUUCAAAAAAAGGAGGAACAACCAAAAGAAAACCACCUUGUUUCAUUUGAGGAGAAGCAGGAGGGUGGAGACACUGACCUCAUCCUCCACCUUCCUCCUCCCUCGUCCGCGAUCAAAUCAUCGUACGGAGAAAUCCCGCCGAUCCGAUCCGGCAGAAAGGUCACGCAGAGAGUCCGUAAAAUGGAUGAAGCCUAAUGAUUAGCUCAACCUUUACCUAAUCAAUAAUCAUUUAUCCAACAAUAUCACCGGCAGCCACAGCCCCAUUCGCCAUUAACCUCGGCGGCGAGGCGAGAGGCAGUAUUGUUUCCUCUGGCAGCUUUAUGGCGCUCCGAUGAGUGGUAGGCCGGCGAGGAGCUUAAGCCCAGAUCUUGAUGGCUGCCAUCCUAUUAAGGGACUGCAGGUAUUUGAGCUUAGCGCGGUCACGUAAUUACCCCUCUGAGUGAUUGACCGGGACACCCGCUCUUCACGGAAGUAGCAUCAUCAGGGAAAGAAGGUAAAUGACGCUCCUGCUUUGGAACUUUGUUCCACUUUCAUUUCGCUGGCGUCACAUUUACAGCUAAACACAGGAAAUAUGGGGAAAUGUUCCCGGUUUGUGCUCCCCCUUCGCCUCCAGCGCCGUCUCCUCCGAGUCUCUCCAUGAUGCCAUCUUCAUCAUAACCUCUCCCUUUUUAUUGCCUUUAAUGACUCCUUCUCUCUUUUCAUUAAUUCUUUAUCGAUUUUUUCCCGACGUCGCCUGAAUUAUUUUCCAAUUAAGGGCAAACAAAAAAGGAAAAUGGUUGUAUAUGCGUGUUUGGCUGUAAUAUCUGGAGUAUCAGAAUGCAGGAGCGGUAAAGGUCACGGGAAGCUCCGCCUCUCCAAAAGUCCUCCGUCGGGCUGGUGUCUGAAAAACCAUUCUGCAACAACAAAACGCUUUUAAUUUGACGGUUCCAGACAGUGAUGGAGGAGCUCAAUAGCAGAAAGAUUCAGCAACAAAAUUAGCCUCAGAGGUCCAUCAGACGGUGUAGUUAAUACCCACAGGUCAUUAAUUACAACAAUUAUUCAAACUCAUAUCACAGACACAUAUUGACUUCUGUUUCUAGUUUUUUUUCUGCUACUUUUCUGAUGAAGCCCCUAAAGGCUUAAUGGGAAGUGUGUAUGUUAAGUAUGUGUGCGCUCCUGCGACUGGACUGGGGAAUGGAAAUGGAUUUUUCUCUGCAUCUGAAUCAUAAGCUGUUUAUUGCAGUACGCAGGCGACCGUGCACAGCGGCCGUCCCUCUGUUGUCCAAUUAGAUCCCAUUACUAUAAAGCUGCGUCGGGCAAAGUGACGGCUAAUUAUGUAAGAUGUCACUCAUCAGCCUGAUGCAAACACACGGAGGUGAAGCUUCUCUGUCAGGCUGCAAGUCACGAACAUGAAAUGAAUGAAAAAAAAGACAGAAAUAAUAAUAAUAAAAAGGAGGGAAUUAGCGAAUGCGGAGAUAAAUUAUUGGAUGAGCUGAUCAAGUUUGAGCAUUUAUUUAGAAUUCAUUAAUCAUCUAUUGCAGAAAAGCUGGACGGUUCUGGAGGGUUGAUGUUCUAAUGAAAGGAGUCAAGGUUAAAAUUAUGAUAAAAAAUUAAAGUGGAUUUUAUAAAAACAGUUUCUUUGAAUUCGUCUGCAUCCUCAGUGGUAUAUAUAACUGUCUUCACAUUGCUGUUAGUAUCAUUAUGUUGUUUUUAUUUUUUGAUAAAAUAAUGUGUUAAAAUCUUCUUGAGGAUAUUUUUUGUUUUUUGAUGAUGGAGGACAUUUAUAAAGAACUUUAAGCGUAAAAUUGCAUUUCUGAUUAUUUCUUUAUAUCAUUGUGAAUCAGGAGCAGAUGAAAAACAUGAUGUUGCUCCAACACAUUCUCUCUCCCAACUCGUCAUGGACGUUUGGUUUGGACCCCUCCACGUCGCUUUUUGAUUUGUUUAGUGUCCCCGACUCUACGUUUUUUGACAUGCUGGGGGUCGCAGUUAAAUCAGAGUUCCAGGUGUUUUGUCGGACCUUUCCUCAGGAAGCGGAUGGUACUGGUACCCUGACCCGGUCUGCAAACCGGUACUACGUCCAGUAGCGGAUGCAGACAGUACCAGGUGCACGGUUCCGGUACUGUCCACGGUACCAGUUCUGGUCUUGAGUUAGGGAUACCAGAAACAUCAA